CUAAUACAUGCAAGUCGAACGAGAUUCAAGACUUCGGUUUUGAUGAAAGUGGCGCACGGGUGCGUAACGCGUAUGCAACCUACCCUUAACUGGGGGAUAGCCCGGAGAAAUUCGGAUUAAUACCCCAUAGUAUCACAAGAUGGCAUCUGAAAGUGAUUAAAGAUUUAUUGGUUAAGGAUGGGCAUGCGUGACAUUAGAUAGUUGGUGAGGUA
rnacentral:rRNA from 13 species